GCCCUGCUAGCUCAGUCGGUAGAGAAGGAGACUCUUAAUCUCAGGGUCGUGGGUUCGAGCUCACGUUGGAUG
rnacentral:tRNA from 1 species